rnacentral:rRNA from 1 species
GCAUAGCUGUAAACUAAAAUGUUUUUAAUACACUACACUCGCCCGGGUACUACGGGCAUUAGCCUAAAACCCAAAGGACUUGGCGGUGCUUUAUACCCCCCUAGAGGAGCCUGUUCUUUAACUGAUAAUCCCCGUUAAACCUCACCUUGUUUUGCUUAAUCAACCUAUAUACCGCCGUCGUCAGCUUACCUUGUGAAAGAAUAAUAGUGAGCAUAAUUAGUAUAACUUAAAACGUCAGGUCGAGGUGUAGUUUAUAGCAAGGGAAGAAAUGGGCUACAUUCACAUUUUUGUGUAAACGGAUGGUUUAAUGAAACAUAAACCUAAAGGAGGAUUUAGCAGUAAAAAGAAAACAGAGUGUUCUUUUGAAAAAGGCUCUAAAGCGCG